rnacentral:rRNA from 1 species
UACAUGAGUGACAAGCGUUAUCCGUAAUUAUUGGGCGUAAAGGAUGUGUGGACGGUAAAAGAAGUUGUAAUCUACUAUAACAGUUAAUUGGGCAGAUUAUAAAACCUUUUUACUUGAAUUUUUUUUACAUGUAUACGACAUUUGUAAACUAGUGAUAAAAUACUUUGAGUUUAUAAGUAUCUUCAAAGGCGAAAGCAGUAUACAUAAAAAAAUUGACGUUGAAACAUCAAAGCAUGGAAAUCGAAUAGG